CAGCAGCCACGGUAAUACAGAGGGUGCAAGCGUUAAUCGGAAUUACUGGGCGUAAAGCGCGCGUAGGUGGUUUGUUAAGUUGGAUGUGAAAUCCCCGGGCUCAACCUGGGAACUGCAUCCAAAACUGGCAAGCUAGAGUAUGGUAGAGGGUGGUGGAAUUUCCUGUGUAGCGGUGAAAUGCGUAGAUAUAGGAAGGAACACCAGUGGCGAAGGCGACCACCUGGACUGAUACUGACACUGAGGUGCGAAAGCGUGGGGAGCAAACAGGAUUAGAUACCGCGUAGUCCCUGUCUCUUAUACA
rnacentral:rRNA from 1 species